rnacentral:lncRNA from 1 species
AGCCUCUGGUAAACAGGCCCGCAGGUUCUGCCGCCGGCGCCGAUCGGCUCCUGUGAACCUGGUGAUGUGCAGCCAGCCACCUGCCUUCUCGUGGCCUGAAGGGGAUGGAAGCCAAUGUUUCUAAGUCUCUUACCCUGCGGAGCUCAGAAAGGCGAAGGUCACCCAGACAGCAGGUGACCAAGCUGCGAUUCGAGCCCUGGUCCUUCACGCUUCAGAGCCAAAGCUUGUCCAUGGUGAAGAGCACAUCACCUCGCCAAUGACUCCUCCAAAUAAAGCUCGUGUAAUAUGUGUCAUUCUUCGAAGACCUUUAAAAAAGAACCAAAACAGUAACUGGUUUGACUUUUUCAGCAGAGCAAAGGAAAAGGGCAUCAGCACGUGGAGGCAAGUUGCAAGCAGCCCUGUGUUUGCCUGCAGGUCCCACACGGUCCUCCGCCCCUUCUCAUUGUUCGAGCUGCCUCCUGAGGGGGUUACCAAUAAUUUUCACUCAUAAGAUCAGCCUCGGGUUUCUUCAUCUGGAAAGAAAUUAAUUUUCCAAGUCACACAAUUACAGACAACUUUUAAAAGAGUCACUGUGACAGUUUCAUGGUUACCUUAGAUUAGAUGGUGCCAGUUUAUUCUUUUUUAAAAAAAAGAAAAUUUGCGUGAACAAAAUUAAAUCCAAGAAACAUGGCUUUUUUCUAGCUCUUUUUGUGAAAUAGUUUAAAAAAAAAAGAAUAAAGAAAAUAAGCUGCUUCUACCAGUUUUGGGGGCUUUCCAGGUUUCCAGACAUUUACUUAGCUUGAUACAUAGUAUAUUUCUGUGGGAAAAUUUUUGUACACCACGAAUAUCUUGUAGGUCAUUACUUUCUGGCUUGUUGUGUUGGUUACAGUCAGCUCCACGGUAUGAACAAGUUGAUCAGCUCCGGGAAGGCCUCCCAUUUCCUAGCGGAAAACC